GGAUUAGAUACCCUGGUAGUCCACGCUGUAAACGAUGUCUACUUGGAGGUUGGAGUCUUGAAUUCUGGCUUUCGAAGCUAACGCGUUAAGUAGACCGCCUGGGGAGUACGGUCGCAAGAUUAAAACUCAAAUGAAUUGACGGGGGCCCGCACAAGCGGUGGAGCAUGUGGUUUAAUUCGAUGCAACGCGAAGAACCUUACCUACUCUUGACAUCCAGAGGAUCCUGCGGAGACGCGGGAGUGCCUUCGGGAACUCUGAGACAGGUGCUGCAUGGCUGUCGUCAGCUCGUGCCG
rnacentral:rRNA from 1 species